rnacentral:rRNA from 1 species
UACAGGGGGGGCUAGCGUUGCUCGGAAUCACUGGGCGUAAAGCGCACGUAGGCGGAUCGUUAAGUCGGAGGUGAAAUCCUGGAGCUCAACUCCAGAACUGCCUUCGAUACUGGCGAUCUUGGAGUCCGGGAGAGGUGAGUGGAACUCCGAGUGUAGAGGUGAAAUUCGUAGAUAUUCGGAAGAAACACCAGUGGCGAAGGCGGCUCACUGGCCCGGUACUGACGCUGAGGUGCGAAAGCGUGGGGAGCAAACAGG